rnacentral:rRNA from 1 species
GGGGAAUCUUGCACAAUGGAGGAAACUCUGAUGCAGCAACGCCGCGUGAGCGAUGAAGGUCUUCGGAUCGUAAAGCUCUGUCUUUAGGGAUGAUAAUGACAGUACCUAAGGAGGAAGCCACGGCUAACUACGUGCCAGCAGCCGCGGUAAUACGUAGGUGGCGAGCGUUAUCCGGAUUUAUUGGGCGUAAAGGGAGCGUAGGCGGAUACUUAAGUGGGAUGUGAAAUACUUGGGCUCAACCCGAGUACUGCAUUCCAAACUGAGUAUCUAGAGUGCAGGAGAGGAGAGUGGAAUUCCUAGUGUAGCGGUGAAAUGCGUAGAGAUUAGGAAGAACACCAGUGGCGAAGGCGACUCUCUGGACUGUAACUGAAGCUGAGGCUCGAAAGCGUGGGGAGCGAAC